GUGUCAGCCGCCGCGGUAAUACGUAGGUGGCGAGCGUUGUCCGGAUUUAUUGGGCGUAAAGGGAGUGUAGGCGGUCUUUUAAGUCUGAUGUGAAAGCCCACGGCUCAACCGUGGAGGGUCAUUGGAAACUGGGAGACUUGAGUGCAGAAGAGGAGAGCGGAAUUCCAUGUGUAGCGGUGAAAUGCGUAGAUAUAUGGAGGAACACCAGUGGCGAAGGCGGCUCUCUGGUCUGUAACUGACGCUGAGACUCGAAAGCGUGGGGAGCAAACAGGAUUAGAAACCCUCGUAGUCC
rnacentral:rRNA from 1 species